rnacentral:lncRNA from 1 species
AUUUGGCUUCAGAAAUGGUAUGGAGGUGUAUCUGACAUUUCAAAGGAGGAAUAUUUCAAAGCGGUUCCUAGAAAGGCCUGAUGCAAUGGAAGAAAGUCCCUGCUGUUUGCAUUAUAGUGAAAACCUUUUACGUGAUGUAACCGGACAGCUCUUGAACGCUGUCUCUUUGUUGAAGGCUUCGUGGUGCCCUGUCACCUACAGCAGAACGAGAGGAUGAAGAGGGAGCCUUGCGCGUGACUUGAGCCUCAAGGGGUCAUUUGAAGAUCCUCCACUUUCACAGGUACUUCACAGAGAUCGUCUUCGUUCACAUUGCGUUCAAUCCAGACUCACCUCUUGGUUGUCAAAACGGCACACUGAGACCUUUACUGGUCCAUUCUUUAGGAAAAAAAAAUUAUGCCUGUGUGUACAAUAUGACUGCUCUGUAUUGUGAGACUGUUUUUGUUGUUUUCUGUGCCAAACGCAGUGUCUUGGAUCAAAGCUUAUUGCAACCACAAAGGGGUUGAAUAUGCACCACACAGCCUCAAAACUGUGUACAGGGUGAGGGUGGAGGACUAUCUGUCUGUGGGUCACUCAUCAUGCUCCUGGAUUGCAAAUACAUCAUUGAGUCACAUUGGCUAGAUUGUAACCAAUGUCACUUAUGGUCACUUAUGGACUCCUCCCCCCUCUAACGUGAUCAGCAAUGUAAGAACGGGCAGAGUUUGCAGCACAGGCCUAUUCUGUAGAAGCAGAUGUUGGUAGAACACCAAAAAGAAUGGGGUAGAUUUGGCCUCAAGCUUCUUAGAUCCCAACUGCUCACAUUUUUUUUAUAGAGAAUUCCCCACUCGCAUGCAUGAGGAGUGGCAUCCAAAAUAAGAAGCACCUCGUGCCAUGGAUUGUAGAGAGGAAAAGGGAGAAGGGUGAGGCUGUGAAGCAAGCAAAGACAGAGCCUGAAAGGAGGAUGAAAGAGGUCACUAACUGAGGGUGCUUUCCAGAGGUCAUCUCAUUUAGGCCCUACAACCAAUGAGGGUAUGUCCUCAUUGUCACUUCCAGACAAGGAAACUGAGGCUCUGCAUGGCCAAGUCAAUAUUCAAGGUCAGACUCCUGAACUCCCUGCACAGAAUGGAUGAGUGCUUUUGAUUUUAAGAAUAGAGUUACUAAAAUGCUUAGUCGCUGAAAAUCCUUAAAGGGAGUAUGAAAGACAGGGACUGAUUUGUCUGGAGAUAAUUUGUCACUGCUUUCAGGAUUUAAAAAAAAA